rnacentral:rRNA from 1 species
CCUACGGGAGGCAGCAGUGAGGAAUAUUGGUCAAUGGGCGAGAGCCUGAACCAGCCAAGUCGCGUGAGGGAGUACUGCCCUAUGGGUUGUAAACCUCUUUUGUCGGGGAGCAAAAGCCGGACGUGUCCGGCUGUGAGAGUACCCGCAGAAAAAGCAUCGGCUAACUCCGUGCCAGCAGCCGCGGUAAUACGGAGGAUGCGAGCGUUAUCCGGAUUUAUUGGGUUAAAAGGGUGCGCAGGCGGAUUUUUAAGUCAGCGGUAAAAUCGUGGGGCUCAACCCCAUCCAGCCGUUGAAACUGGGGAUCUAGAGUGUGCGAGAGGUAUGCGGAAUGCGUGGUGUAGCGGUGAAAUGCAUAGAUAUCACGCAGAACCCCGAUUGCGAAGGCAGCAUACCGGUGCACAACUGACGCUCAGGCACGAAAGCGUGGGUAUCGAACAGGAUUAGAUACCCCGGUAGUC